GCUCGGUUGGACUAGGGGUUAGGUCACAUCCCUUUCACGGAUGUAGCACGGGUUCGAAUCCCGUACCGAGUA
rnacentral:tRNA from 1 species